rnacentral:rRNA from 1 species
UGGCGACCGGCGCACGGGUGCGUAACGCGUAUGCAACCUACCUUUAACAGGGGGGUAACGACUGAGAAAUUGGUACUAAUACCCCAUAAUAUCAUAGAAGGCAUCUUUUAUGGUUGAAAAUUCCGAUGGUUAGAGAUGGGCAUGCGUUGUAUUAGCUAGUUGGUGGGGUAACGGCUCACCAAGGCGACGAUACAUAGGGGGACUGAGAGGUUAACCCCCCACACUGGUACUGAGACACGGACCAG